GGAUCCCACCUGAGCCUGGAAAAAGAAAGCCCAGAAGGAGAGUUGAGGAGGCUGGGUCUGGCCAGCCAAGAGGGCAUAUCCAGAAAGGACAGGAGCCUGGCACUCUGUCAAGCCUUCCAGAGACUCCACAAGCCAGCUCCUGCCUCAGCCUAUGCCAGGAGACGGAUGACCCCGUUGUCUGAGCCCAGCAAGAGGUGGCGUUUGGUGGGCAGCAAAGCCAGGCUGGAUGUCCCCUUCAUGGGCUGGCCAGCCUCGAAGAACUAGGCCUGUGCGGGUAUCCAGGAGAACCAUGAAGCCCGAGGAGAAGCCAGCCACAACGCUACGGCCACUGGGGCUGACCGCCAAGGAGCGGACAAGCCCAGGGUUCAGCCCGCCACCCAGGCGAAACUCAUGCUGCAGACAGAAUGGAAAAACUGAUGCUUGCUGAAAGUAACUCAGCAAGUAAGCUGGUGGAGCCAAUUCAAACUCAAAUCUAAAAGAUUCUAAGUCCUGGUGGUGCCCGUAGCUCAGUGGGUAGGGCACCGGCCACAUACACCGAGGCUGGAGGUUUGAACCCGGCCCAGGCCAGCUAAAACAACAAUGACAACUGCAACAACAAAAAAACAUAACCAGGUGGGCGAUGUGGAGAAGGCAGCUGAGCACAGGCCCCGACACUAUGUCACCCAGGACCGG